UGGCUACCAUAGCAAGAGUGAACCACCUGAUCCCUUCCCGAACUCAGAAGUGAAACCUCUUAGCGCUGAUGGUAGUGUGGGAUUACCCAUGUGAGAGUAAGUCAUCGCCAGCUC
rnacentral:rRNA from 1 species